GAUGAACGCUGGCGGCGUGCCUAAUACAUGCAAGUCGAGCGAACGGACGAGAAGCUUGCUUCUCUGAUGUUAGCGGCGGACGGGUGAGUAACACGUGGAUAACCUACCUAUAAGACUGGGAUAACUUCGGGAAACCGGAGCUAAUACCGGAUAAUAUUUUGAACCGCAUGGUUCGAAAGUGAAAGACGGUCUUGCUAUCACUUAUAGAUGGAUCCGCGCUGCAUUAGCUAGUUGGUAAGGUAACGGCUUACCAAGGCAACGAUGCAUAGCCGACCUGAGAGGGUGAUCGGCCACACUGGAACUGAGACACGGUCCAGACUCCUACGGGAGGCAGCAGUAGGGAAUCUUCCGCAAUGGGCGAAAGCCUGACGGAGCAACGCCGCGUGAGUGAUGAAGGUCUUCGGAUCGUAAAACUCUGUUAUUAGGGAAGAACAUAUGUGUAAGUAACUGUGCACAUCUUGACGGUACCUAAUCAGAAAGCCACGGCUAACUACGUG
rnacentral:rRNA from 1 species